UACAGAGGGGGCAAGCGUUGUCCGGAAUUACUGGGCGUAAAGCGUACGCAGGUGGCCGUGCAAGUGUGAUGUGAAAGCCCCGCGCUUAACGCGGGGAGGCCAUUACAGACUGCAUAGCUCGAGGGAUGCAGAGGGUCGUGGAAUUGCCGGUGUAGUGGUGAAAUGCGUAGAGAUCGGCAGGAACACCAAGGACGAAGGUAGCGACCUGGGCAUCACCUGACACUCAUGUACGACAGCGUGGGGAGCGAAC
rnacentral:rRNA from 1 species